GCGGGUGUGGCGGAACUGGCAGACGCAGGGCACUCGCAACGCCCGGGGUCUAGGCCCGUGUGGGUUCGAGUCCCACCACCCGCACCC
rnacentral:tRNA from 1 species